rnacentral:tRNA from 1 species
GGCGUAAUUGGUAGCCGCGCCAGACUUAGGAUCUGGUGUCUUACGACGUGGGGGUUCGAGUCCCUUC